AACAAGUUUCAUGUCACCCUGCAGCCCACGACCGGUUACUAACUGAAGCUAAGCAGGGCUGAGCCUGGUCAGUAACUGGAUGGGAGACCACUAGGGAACACUAGGUUGCUGUUGGAA
rnacentral:rRNA from 1 species